CCUACGGGAGGCAGCAGUGAGGAAUAUUGGUCAAUGGCCGAGAGGCUGAACCAGCCAAGUCGCGUGAGGGAAGACGGCCCUACGGGUUGUAAACCUCUUUUGUCGGGGAGCAAAGAGAGUCACGUGUGACUCAUUGAGAGUACCCGAAGAAAAAGCAUCGGCUAACUCCGUGCCAGCAGCCGCGGUAAUACGGAGGAUGCGAGCGUUAUCCGGAUUUAUUGGGUUUAAAGGGUGCGCAGGCGGAGGUGCAAGUCAGCGGUAAAAUCGUGGAGCUCAACUCCAUCCAGCCGUUGAAACUGAUGAUCUUGAGUGGGCGAGAAGUAUGCGGAAUGCGUGGUGUAGCGGUGAAAUGCAUAGAUAUCACGCAGAACUCCGAUUGCGAAGGCAGCAUACCGGCGCCCGACUGACGCUGAAGCACGAAAGCGUGGGUAUCGAACAGGAUUAGAUACCCUUGUAGUC
rnacentral:rRNA from 1 species